AGUGAACGCUGGCGGUAGGCCUAACACAUGCAAGUCGAACGGCAGCACAGUAAGAGCUUGCUCUUACGGGUGGCGAGUGGCGGACGGGUGAGGAAUACAUCGGAAUCUACUUUUUCGUGGGGGAUAACGUAGGGAAACUUACGCUAAUACCGCAUACGACCUACGGGUGAAAGCAGGGGAUCUUCGGACCUUGCGCGAUUGGAUGAGCCGAUGUCGGAUUAGCUAGUUGGCGGGGUAAAGGCCCACCAAGGCGACGAUCCGUAGCUGGUCUGAGAGGAUGAUCAGCCACACUGGAACUGCGACACGGUCCAGACUCCUACGGGAGGCAGCAGUGGGGAAUAUUGGACAAUGGGCGCAAGCCUGAUCCAGCCAUACCGCGUGGGUGAAGAAGGCCUUCGGGUUGUAAAGCCCUUUUGUUGGGAAAGAAAAGCAGCAGGUUAAUACCCCGCUGUUCUGACGGUACCCAAAGAAUAAGCACCGGCUAACUUCGUG
rnacentral:rRNA from 1 species